GUGGGGAAUAUUGGACAAUGGGCGAAAGCCUGAUCCAGCCAUGCCGCGUGUGUGAAGAAGGUCUUCGGAUUGUAAAGCACUUUAAGUUGGGAGGAAGGGCAGUAAGUUAAUACCUUGCUGUUUUGACGUUACCGACAGAAUAAGCACCGGCUAACUUCGUGCCAGCAGCCGCGGUAAUACGAAGGGUGCAAGCGUUAAUCGGAAUUACUGGGCGUAAAGCGCGCGUAGGUGGUUUUGUAAGUUGGAGGUGAAAUCCCCGGGCUCAACCUGGGAACUGCCUCCAAAACUGCAUGACUAGAGUACGGUAGAGGGUAGUGGAAUUGCCUGUGUAGCGGUGAAAUGCGUAGAUAUAGGAAGGAACACCAGUGGCGAAGGCGACUACCUGGACUGAUACUGACACUGAGGUGCGAAAGCGUGGGGAGCAAACAGGAUUAGAAACCCUGGUAGUCC
rnacentral:rRNA from 1 species